UCCCAUCCUCCCUGCCAUCCUCCUGCCCAUCCUCCCACCCUCCCUCCCAUCCUCACCUGCAGGAAAACCGGGAUGGUCCCCGAGGGUCAGAGGCACGUUUUUGGCAAAUGUUGAGUUUUAGGGUUGGGAACUGGAUCCCUGUUUGAUAAUCUGGGAGGACAGGAGUGGGAAGGGUGCCAGGCCCAGGGCAGGAUCAGGGGGCAGCUGCUGCUCCCCAGCUCUGGGUUCCUCCCCAGCCAGACCCAAGUGGAGCUCAUCCCUGCAGUCCAGGAGCUCAUCCCUGCAGUCCAGGAGCUCAUCCCUGCAGUCCAGGAGCUCAUCCCUGCAGUCCAGGAGCUCAUCCCUGCAGUCCAGGGGCUGCUCCCUCUCCAUGCAGGCAGAGGCCCAAGCACUGUGCUGUAAGUCCCCUUUUCCUUGAAAUUCCCCCUCUUUGUGCUGCUUUUCCCACACCCAGAGAUCCCCUUGGGCAGAGGGGGAGGGACAACCUCGGGGUUGUGCCUGAGGGGAUUGUUCUCCAGGAGAGCAGGGAUGGUGGAAUUCUUCCCCAGGGACUGUGUUUGAGACACCGAAUGCUCUGCUGAGAAACAGCUCCUCGGUUGAUGGUUUUUCACCAUUUUCUACCGCUCACGUUGGGUUUUCCAUGACAUAGGAAACUUCAGGAACCAGGAAGGGCAGUUUGGGCCCAACCAACUCAUUUUUGACUGAGCUGAAACCCCUCCCAGCAUUUCUGAAAGGAAAAGAAUAAUGAAACAAUGCUUUUUAAACAUUUUCUCUAUAAUAUUUAUACCCACCCCUCUUACCCUCUAGAAGAAAAAGCCAAUUAUGAGAGUGAGUUUUGAAUUUCCACUGCUGAUUUAAAUUGUUGUGUUUCCUGUGCCUGGUCCACCCUGGGGGUUCUGUGCAUUCCACAUCACAUAUGCAACCUGCAUUUCUGUUGUGCCACUAUUUUAUGGUCAGGCCUGUUAUUAAAUGAUUUUUAAAUGCUUAAAAAAACAAAACAAAACAAAACAAACAAACAAAAAAAAAAUCUUGGUAAAUCAAUUGUAUUCCAGUUUUGCAAAAUGAUUUUCUUCUCAAUAAAUUUACAGUAUUAGGCUGCUAUUCAGAAUUCUAACA